rnacentral:rRNA from 1 species
GACGAACGCUGGCGGCGUGCUUAACACAUGCAAGUCGAACGGCCAGGCCCUGCUUUUGUGGGGUGCUCGAGUGGCGAACGGGUGAGUAACACGUGUGUAACCUGCCCUUGACUUUGGGAUAACUUCAGGAAACUGGCGCUAAUACCGGAUAGGUGCUCCUGCUGCAUGGUGGGGGUUGGAAAGUUUCGGCGGUUGGGGAUGGUCUCGCGGCUUAUCAGCUUGUUGGUGGGGUAGUGGCUUACCAAGGCUUUGACGGGUAGCCGGCCUGAGAGGGUGACCGGCCACAUUGGGACUGAGAUACGGCCCAGACUCCUACGGGAGGCAGCAGUGGGGAAUAUUGCACAAUGGGCGGAAGGCUGAUGCAGCAACGCCGCGUGCGGGAUGACGGCCUUCGGGUUGUAAACCGCUUUCGCCUGUGACGAAGCGUGAGUGACGGUAAUGGGUAAAGAAGCACCGGCUAACUACGUG